AUUGAACGCUAGCGGGAUGCUUUACACAUGCAAGUCGAACGGCAGCGCGGACUUCGGUCUGGCGGCGAGUGGCGAACGGGUGAGUAAUGUAUCGGAACGUGCCCAGUAGCGGGGGAUAACUACGCGAAAGCGUAGCUAAUACCGCAUACGCCCUACGGGGGAAAGCAGGGGAUCGUAAGACCUUGCACUAUUGGAGCGGCCGAUAUCGGAUUAGCUAGUUGGUGAGGUAACGGCUCACCAAGGCGACGAUCCGUAGCUGGUUUGAGAGGACGAGCAGCCACACUGGGACUGAGACACGGCCCAGACUCCUACGGGAGGCAGCAGUGGGGAAUUUUGGACAAUGGGGGCAACCCUGAUCCAGCCAUCCCGCGUGUGCGAUGAAGGCCUUCGGGUUGUAAAGCACUUUUGGCAGGAAAGAAACGUCGCGGGCUAAUACCCCGUGGAACUGACGGUACCUGCAGAAUAAGCACCGGCUAACUACGUG
rnacentral:rRNA from 1 species